rnacentral:lncRNA from 10 species
GUGGAAGAGUAAACUGUUCCUGUUUCUCCAUCUUGACAGGAAGCAGAAGUUCUCCUUAGCUGAUUUUUCUUCUUGCCUUAUACUGGGUUCUUUAACACCAGAACAAAAAUAAAUAAAUAAAAGAAUCUUCCAGAAAUUCAUGAAGAGACUUCAGGUCAGGAAAGCCUGAACUUUCUCAUCCAACACCCGUUCAAGUCGGAGGAUGCUGAUUAAUUCAUGAUGGAAAGGUAUCAAUUUCACAGCCCAGACCUCUACAUUCUUGAAAUGCUCUUCUCAUGGGAGACAUUAAAUAAGCUUUGAAUUAACUGAGACCUCUGUGGAUUCUAUAACUCAAAGACCCAGGCUGACGGCUGGUGGAAUAGCUACCAUCUCAAACAUGGCGUGAUGCUGCAUCAGAGAGAAAAAUAAGCUCUUGCAUUGACAAUGAAAUGUCUACCCUGUAGUGACUUGUGCUUACUUCCACUCACAAGUGAUUGCCCAGAGCUACUUACCUGGCUCCAAUCUACCACUGGGUGUGUACUUGCAAUCUACCAUGUACCUAGAAGAUGAGAGAAACAAAUUAUUAAUGAUGACCACACCCCAAUACUAACAACAAU